AUUGAACGCUGGCGGCAGGCUUAACACAUGCAAGUCGAGCGGGGUGAGGUGCUUCGGUACUGAUCCUAGCGGCGGACGGGCGAGUAAUGCUUAGGAAUCUGCCAUUUAGUGGGGGACAACAUUCCGACAGGGAUGCUAAUACCGCAUACGUCGUACGAGAGAAAGCAGGGGAUCUUCGGACCGUGCGCUAAAUGAUGAGCCUAAGUCGGAUUAGCUAGUUGGUGGGGUAAAGGCCUAUCCAGGCGACGAUCUGUAGCGGGUCUGAGAGGCUGAUCCGCCAACCUGGGACUGAGACACGGCCCAGACUCCACCGGGAGGCAGCAGUUGGGAAUAUUUGACAAUGGGCGGAAGCCUGAUCCAGCUAUGCCGCGUGUGUGAAGAAGGCCUUUUGGUUGUAAAGCACUUUAAGCGAGGAGGAGGCUACCUGGAUUAAUACUCUAGGAUAGUGGACGUUACUCGCAGAAUAAGCACCGGCUAACUCUGUGCCAGCAGCCGCCGUAAUAC
rnacentral:rRNA from 1 species